rnacentral:rRNA from 1 species
UACGAAGGGGGCUAGCGUUGUUCGGAAUCACUGGGCGUAAAGCGUGCGCAGGCGGUUAUGUAAGACAGUUGUGAAAUCCCCGGGCUCAACCUGGGAACUGCAUCUGUGACUGCAUAGCUAGAGUACGGUAGAGGGGGAUGGAAUUCCGCGUGUAGCAGUGAAAUGCGUAGAUAUGCGGAGGAACACCGAUGGCGAAGGCAAUCCCCCUGGGCCUGCACUGACGCUCAUGCACGAAAGCGUGGGGAGCAAACAGG